rnacentral:misc_RNA from 1 species
AGUGACUCGACGUAACUAACAGGCAUAUAAUCUCCCACUGCUCCCUCCACUCUCUAUAUAGACAGACAAUUGUCCUCUCAAAGUUACAGAUUACUGCGAAGGAAAACCAUGAGUGACCAGCACCUCAAUGCCCAGCUAUUUGAACUCAACAAUGGAACCAUUCGUGUUCUCCUCACCAACUAUGGCGCCACCAUUAUUUCCCUCUUCGUCCCUGACAAACAAGGUUCUCUCUUCUCUCUUAAUAUCUUCAUGUCUACCAACCUAUUAAUAUAUUUAUAUUUUUUCUGUGUUUUUCGUUCCUGUAUGGAUUAAUCUACAGGAAAACUUGAUGACAUUGUUCUUGGGUUUGACUCUGUAGAAGAAUAUACGGUGAGUUUCAGGAAAAGCAAAAACCAGUUCUGUUUGGUAACUGAGAAAAUAGGGGUUUCCUGUUCUCUAAUUACAUAAAUUGUGUUUAUUUAUAUUUCCUGAAUUUUCAAAGAUACAGCUGAAAUUUCCUUUAUUUUGUCAAUUUGAAGAUUUUUAACUGUAUUUGUUUGAUUAAUUGAAAUUUCUGUUUGACCAGAAAGGGAAUGCACCUUAUUUUGGUUGCAUUGUGGGUCGGGUUGCCAACAGAAUUAAGGAGGGGAAGUUCUCUCUCUAUGGGAUUGAUUACUCUUUAGCUGUAAACAAUGGGCCAAACAGUCUCCAUGGUAUGGUGAAAUCAAAAUACCCCAUUUCAUAAAUCUAGGGAUAGAGCCAAAUGUUGAAAUUUUAAGUUAUGGAGUAAGUGUUUCAAUACGAUUGAUAGCUUCUAUGGAUUGCUCUUCAGGUGGUAAUAAGGGAUUUGACAAAGUUGUGUGGGAUGUUGUGGAACAAAAAAGUGGGGAACAACCAUCUAUUACAUUCAAGUAUGAAAGUUAUGAUGGGGAGGAAGGUGUGCUCUUUUUUCAUUGUUUUGCUUUUCCUUGCAUUGCUAUCAUAAAGAUACUGAUGCUUUAAUUGUUUCUGAAACCAGGAUAUCCAGGAGAUGUUACUGUAACCGCUACUUAUAUACUAAUUUCUUGCAAAUCAAUGAGGUUGGAUAUGGAAGCAGUGACUAAAAGUAAGUCUACUCCAGUCAGCUUAGCACAGCACACCUAUUGGAAUUUAGCAGGCCACAACUCUGGGAAUGUGCUUGAGCAUUUGGUUCAGAUUUGGGGAUCCCAAAUAACCCCUGUGGAUCAGAACUCAAUUCCAACAGGCGAAUUCUUGCCCGUUAAAGGCACAGUUUUUGACUUCACUUCAGAGAAGAAAGUAGGAAGCUCAAUCAGUGAAGUCCAGGGUUUAGGGUAUGACCAUAAUUAUGUCCUUGAUUGUGGAGAAGAUAAAACAGGAUUAAAACAUGCAGCUAAGGUGAAAGACCCUUCUAGCUCUAGAGUGUUGAACUUAUGGGCAGAUGCACCUGGCAUGCAGUUCUAUACUGCAAACUAUGUGAAUGGUGUCUCCGGGAAAGGUGGGGCUGUCUAUGAAAGGCAUUCAGGGCUAUGUUUUGAGACUCAGGGCUUUCCAAAUGCCAUUAACCAACCGAAUUUUCCUUCUAUUAUUGUUCAUCCUGGAGAGAAGUACAAGCACACAAUGUUGUUUGAGUUUUCAGUUGAGUAGAUUUUUUAUUUAGGGAUUAGAGAGGAUUUUUCUGGUUGGCUUUAUUUAAUUUAAUUAUUAUUGUGUUUUGGGAGCUGGAGCCUUUCUUUGGUCUCCAUAGGAUUUUCUUAUAGUUGGAUUAUAUAUGAAAGAAUUCUAAGUAACAAUUUAUUGGUGGAAUAUCAUGAUUUCGAGAUUUCUAGAGUGCAGUUCGAUUUGUCCAUAUUUCUUUUUCUCAAACGAAGUCAUAAUUAGUAGAUAUUUCUACUUUACACUUUAUGGUUAAGCCAAAUAAGAGUUGUUUGCAUAAUUUGUUAACAUGUU